GGUCCCAUAGCUCAGUUGGUUAGAGCGUCGUACUAAUACUCCUCGUCUUCGGAUGAUCAGUAUCAUGUAAUGCGAAGGCCGAGAGUUCAACCCUCUCUGGGACCA
rnacentral:tRNA from 1 species